UGCAAGUCGAGCGGUAGAGAGAAGCUUGCUUCUCUUGAGAGCGGCGGACGGGUGAGUAAUGCCUAGGAAUCUGCCUGGUAGUGGGGGAUAACGUUCGGAAACGGACGCUAAUACCGCAUACGUCCUACGGGAGAAAGCAGGGGACCUUCGGGCCUUGCGCUAUCAGAUGAGCCUAGGUCGGAUUAGCUAGUUGGUGGGGUAAUGGCUCACCAAGGCGACGAUCCGUAACUGGUCUGAGAGGAUGAUCAGUCACACUGGAACUGAGACACGGUCCAGACUCCUACGGGAGGCAGCAGUGGGGAAUAUUGGACAAUGGGCGAAAGCCUGAUCCAGCCAUGCCGCGUGUGUGAAGAAGGUCUUCGGAUUGUAAAGCACUUUAAGUUGGGAGGAAGGGUUGUAGAUUAAUACUCUGCAAUUUUGACGUUACCGACAGAAUAAGCACCGGCUAACUCUGUGCCAGCAGCCGCGGUAAUACAGAGGGUGCAAGCGUUAAUCGGAAUUACUGGGCGUAAAGCGCGCGUAGGUGGUUUGUUAAGUUGGAUGUGAAAUCCCCGGGCUCAACCUGGGAACUGCAUUCAAAACUGACUGACUAGAGUAUGGUAGAGGGUGGUGGAAUU
rnacentral:rRNA from 1 species